AUACCUGGCGGCGGCCUAACCAUGCAAGUCCAGCGGUAGAGAGAAGCUUGCUUCUCUUGAGAGCGGCGGACGGGUGAGUAAUGCCUAGGAAUCUGCCUGGUAGUGGGGGAUAACGCUCGGAAACGGACGCUAAUACCGCAUACGUCCUACGGGAGAAAGCAGGGGACCUUCGGGCCUUGCGCUAUCGGAUGAGCCUAGGUCGGAUUAGCUAGUUGGUGAGGUAAUGGCUCACCAAGGCGACGAUCCGUAACUGGUCUGAGAGGAUGAUCAGUCACACUGGAACUGAGACACGGUCCAGACUCCUACGGGAGGCAGCAGUGGGGAAUAUUGGACAAUGGGCGAAAGCCUGAUCCAGCCAUGCCGCGUGUGUGAAGAAGGUCUUCGGAUUGUAAAGCACUUUAAGUUGGGAGGAAGGGCAUUAACCUAAUACGUUAGUGUUUUGACGUUACCGACAGAAUAAGCACCGGCUAACUCUGUGCCAGCAGCCGCGGUAAU
rnacentral:rRNA from 1 species